ACGAACGCUGGCGGCGUGCUUAACACAUGCCAGUCGAACGGAAAGGCCCUGCUUUUGUGGGGUGCUCGAGUGGCGAACGGGUGAGUAACACGUGAGUAACCUGCCCUUGACUUUGGGAUAACUUCAGGAAACUGGGGCUAAUACCGGAUAGGAGCUCCUGCUGCAUGGUGGGGGUUGGAAAGUUUCGGCGGUUGGGGAUGGACUCGCGGCUUAUCAGCUUGUUGGUGGGGUAGUGGCUUACCAAGGCUUUGACGGGUAGCCGGCCUGAGAGGGUGACCGGCCACAUUGGGACUGAGAUACGGCCCAGACUCCUACGGGAGGCAGCAGUGGGGAAUAUUGCACAAUGGGCGGAAGCCUGAGGCAGCAACGCCGCGUGCGGGAUGACGGCCUUCGGGUUGUAAACCGCUUUCGCCUGUGACGAAGCGUGAGUGACGGUAAUGGGUAAAGAAGCACCGGCUAACUACGUG
rnacentral:rRNA from 1 species